CACAAUCGCUGCGUUACGUCACAUUACGUAUGUAUGACAUCGCGUCAUAACCGCUUCGCCAUCGCUCGUGAUUAUUACGUCAUGAUCCGGUACACGCCCGAGAGCACACGUUUGUGACGUGACAUUGCGUUUUUUUCUAUAUACGCUUGCUUUUCGCGACAUUAUUUCAUGGGGCCCCAUGCGCGCUUUCCGUCGUCGCAAGGCACAUUACUUAUAUACUGUCGUAUUAAUUUUAAUUAAAAAUAAAUUCGUGUUGUUGGCUAGAAAUGAAGCAUGAAGAUUAAACAAUUGGUAAAGUAUAAUUCACAAUAGGCAUUAUUACGUACACCAGUUCUUUUUUAGAUGAAAUGAGAGAUGUGACGUCACGAAGUGGUGAUGACGCAACAGAAGAACCCACUUCAAUAUGGUAUAUGACGUCACAGAGGAUAAAGGGGACAGAACACGAAUCGCGGAAAAAGAAACGACAGGCAAUAUGCCGCCAAUGAAAAAGGCAAGACGAAGAGCAAAGACGAAGGCGACUAUAAGGAUGCCGGUUUGAGGCUUUGCUUAGGCUUAGGAGUUGUGUGUUGUUGGGUGUGGUUGCUGGAGCACUCUUACAGUGUUGCCGGAUUACUGUUUGUGCCUCAUUUUUGCUGGACCUAAUGUGGCCAGCCUUUUUGUCAGUCACUACUUUAGUGCAUUUUGCAUGUCACUGAAAUAUAUGCAAUGAAACUAUGGCAAACAUCUUGCUGGAUCGGAUUUUGUUGUUGUACACGUCAUUGUGUGUUUCUUCCGCAAUGGUCGAAUCUUUUAGCGAUUUUGCAUUGUCCUAAUCACUUGAUAAAACGGGAUGUUGGUACACAAAUACUUGAGUAAUAUCUACGCGCAAUAUAAUAUAUACGCAGU